CGUAAUGUAUUAAAAUUUGUUAUGUAACGCGAUAGGUAUCAUAAGUACUAUCGCGGUUUUUCACGCUUUGUAAAUUUACUACCCACAUGGCAAUUAGGCAAUAACCGUACAGAUAGGUCUGCGCAAUAAGUUAUUCGUUAGACUCGAUAGACGAUUGUGUCAAAAUAAUCGAUUAUUACGAUUAAUUGAUAUAUUUUGAAGAAACAAUUUGUAUACACUCGCGAUAUUUAUUCGUCAUGUUCAAUAGUCAAUUGGAUU